UUAAGUAGAGGCGCGACAAACAUGAGUAACGUAUUCUGAGGCACUGACAGCCGGUACAGGGUACGCAAAAGGGGAUGUCGCCGAAGUGGAACGGAAUGUCAGACCGUUUUGGCUGGGUCUGCAGUGAAGAACUGCAGGACUGUCACCGGCAGGUGGAGUGCUACUUGG
rnacentral:ncRNA from 1 species